CAGGUAUGAACCACUGCGCCUGGCAGAAACACUUUUUAAUAUGCAUAUAAGAGGGCCUACAAAUAACUCUCAAGGCCAAACCUCUCAAUUAUUCUAAACUGUCUAUGAUUGACCAAAAGCCAGAUGAGAAUCCUGCAGCCUUUAUGGAAAGGCUGAGAGAAGCACUAACAAAGCACACCUCCUUAUUCCCUGAUUCAGUCGUCAGACAGCUUAUUCUAAAGAACAAGUUUAUUACACAGACAGCUAUUGAUACAGAAGGAAACAACAGAAACAAGCUAUAGGACCAGAUAGCACCUUAGAGAACCUCCUGAAGGUGACCACUUUGUUCUUUUAUAAUAGGGACCAGGAGGAGGCUCAAGAGAAAGAGAGAAAAGUCAGGAGGAUAAAGCUCUAGUAGCUGCUUUGGAAGCUUGCAAAGUCCAGGAUCCCUGAGGUGCAUCUGCUAGUUGCCAUUGGUGUG
rnacentral:lncRNA from 10 species